rnacentral:tRNA from 1 species
AGCCCCGUGGUGGAGACCACGUCAGAUUGCAAAUCUGAAGAGGCCGACUAUAAUCGGCCGGGGCUU